UGCAUGUCUCAGAGUAAGUAUUUUCCCGCGAAGCUGCGAAUGGCUCAUUACCACAGUUAUAGUUUAUGCGGUUGUGGUUCAUUAUAUGAAUAACUAUACCAAUUGUAGAGCUAAUGCAUGCGUGAAGUCCCCACUAUAUUAUGAAGGGGUGUUUUUAUUAGGUACAGAAACUUUCACUGGCUCCGGCCUGACUUGUAGAUGAUUCAUAAUGACUGUACGGAUCGCCAUGAAUUUGGCGACAUUCUGUUCACGUUCCUGACCUAUCAGCUUUCGACGGUAGGGUAUUGUCCUAUCGUGGCGUUGACGGGUAACGGAGAAUUGGGGUUCGAUUCCGGAGGGGGAGCCUGAGAAACGGCUACCACAUCUAAGGAAGGCAGCAGGCGCGUAAAUUACCUUUUUUUGACGCAGGGAGGUAGUGACAAGAAAUAACAAUACAGCGCAUCAAUGUGUUGUGAUUGGAAUGAGUCCCCCUCAAAAGGCUAUGCGAUUAUCAAUUGGAGGGCAAGUCUGGUGCCAGCAGCCGCGGUAAUUCCAGCUCCAAUAGCGUAUAUUAAAGUUGUUGCGGUUAAAAAGCUCGUAGUUGGACUUGUACGAAGGUUCGUUGGUCCGCCCUUUGGGUGUGUACUUUACGAUGUCCGUCGUCUCUCUGGAGAACGUUGCCAUGCUCACGCGUGGUGCGGUAUCCGGAGCAUUUACUUUGAGGAAAUUAGAGUGUUCUCGGCAGGCAUUUGCCUUGAAUAUGUUAGCAUGGAAUAAUGCGAAAAAGGCCUCGGUUUUUCUUGUUGGUUUCUAACCCCCAGGUGAUGAUUAAUAUGAUUUGUUUGGGGGCAUCCUGU
rnacentral:rRNA from 1 species